AGAGUUUGAUCCUGGCUCAGGAUGAACGCUGGCGGCGUGCUUAACACAUGCAAGUCGAACGAAGCACUUUUACAGAUUUCUUCGGAAUGAAGUUUUAGUGACUGAGUGGCGGACGGGUGAGUAACGCGUGGGUAACCUGCCUCACACAGGGGGAUAACAGUUGGAAACGGCUGCUAAUACCGCAUAAGCGCACAGUACCGCAUGGUACAGUGUGAAAAACUCCGGUGGUGUGAGAUGGACCCGCGUCUGAUUAGCUAGUUGGCAGGGCAACGGCCUACCAAGGCGACGAUCAGUAGCCGACCUGAGAGGGUGACCGGCCACAUUGGGACUGAGACACGGCCCAAACUCCUACGGGAGGCAGCAGUGGGGAAUAUUGCACAAUGGGGGAAACCCUGAUGCAGCGACGCCGCGUGGAGGAAGAAGGUCUUCGGAUUGUAAACUCCUGUUGUUGAGGAAGAUAAUGACGGUACUCAACAAGGAAGUGACGGCUAACUACGUGCCAGCAGCCGCGGUAAAACGUAGGUCACAAGCGUUGUCCGGAAUUACUGGGUGUAAAGGGAGCGCAGGCGGGAAGACAAGUUGGAAGUGAAAUCCAUGGGCUCAACCCAUGAACUGCUUUCAAAACUGUUUUUCUUGAGUAGUGCAGAGGUAGGCGGAAUUCCCGGUGUAGCGGUGGAAUGCGUAGAUAUCGGGAGGAACACCAGUGGCGAAGGCGGCCUACUGGGCACCAACUGACGCUGAGGCUCGAAAGUGUGGGUAGCAAACAGGAUUAGAUACCCUGGUAGUCCACACCGUAAACGAUGAUUACUAGGUGUUGGAGGAUUGACCCCUUCAGUGCCGCAGUUAACACAAUAAGUAAUCCACCUGGGGAGUACGACCGCAAGGUUGAAACUCAAAGGAAUUGACGGGGGCCCGCACAAGCAGUGGAGUAU
rnacentral:rRNA from 1 species